UACGUAGGGGGGCAAGCGUUGUCCGGAAUUAUUGGGCGUAAAGAGCGCGUAGGCGGUCCGGUAAGUCGGUUGUGAAAGUCGGGGGCUCAACCCUCGGAUGCCGAUCGAUACUGUCGGGCUAGAGUCCGGAAGAGGCGAGUGGAAUCCUGGUGUAGCGGUGAAAUGCGCAGAUAUCAGGAGGAACACCAAUGGCGAAGGCAGCUCGCUGGGACGGUACUGACGCUGAGGCGCGAAAGCGUGGGGAGCAAACCAGG
rnacentral:rRNA from 1 species